rnacentral:rRNA from 1 species
UACGAAGGGGCUAGCGUUGCUCGGAAUUACUGGGCGUAAAGCGCACGUAGGCGGCUCUUUAAGUCGGGGGUGAAUCCUGGAGCUCAACUCCAGAACUGCCUUCGAUACUGUAGAGCUUGAGUUCGGGAGAGGUGAGUGGAACUGCGAGUGUAGAGGUGAAAUUCGUAGAUAUUCGCAAGAACACCAGUGGCGAAGGCGGCUCACUGGCCCGAUACUG